GCGCAAGCGCAUGGAGGCCGGCAAGGAGGCCAAGGCGUCGUACGUGAAGCGCUUGGCCGAGUACCGGCACGAGCAGAAGGAGAAACAC
rnacentral:ribozyme from 1 species